CUACGGGGGGCUGCAGUGGGGAAUAUUGGACAAUGGGGGCAACCCUGAUCCAGCAAUGCCGCGUGUGUGAAGAAGGCCUGCGGGUUGUAAAGCACUUUCAAUAGGGAGGAAAAGCUUUGGGUUAAUACCCCGAAGUCUUGACGUUACCUUUAGAAGAAGCACCGGCUAACUCUGUGCCAGCAGCCGCGGUAAUACAGAGGGUGCGAGCGUUAAUCGGAAUUACUGGGCGUAAAGCGCGCGUAGGCGGUUUGAUAAGUCAGAUGUGGAAGCCCCGGGCUUAACCUGGGAACUGCAUUUGAUACUGUCAAACUAGAGUAUGGUAGAGGGUAGUAGAAUUCCUGGUGUAGCGGUGAAAUGCGUAGAUAUCAGGAGGAAUACCAGUGGCGAAGGCGGCUACCUGGACCAAUACUGACGCUGAGGUGCGAAAGCGUGGGGAGCAAACAGGAUUAGAUACCCGCGUAGUC
rnacentral:rRNA from 1 species